rnacentral:rRNA from 1 species
CCAGACUCCUACGGGAGGCAGCAGUGAGGAAUAUUGGUCAAUGGGCGGGAGCCUGAACCAGCCAAGCCGCGUGAGGGAAGAAGGUACAGCGUAUCGUAAACCUCUUUUGUCAGGGAACAAAGGCGGGGACUAGUCCCCGGAUGAGGGUACCUGAAGAAAAAGCAUCGGCUAACUCCGUGCCAGCAGCCGCGGUAAUACGGAGGAUGCGAGCGUUAUCCGGAUUCAUUGGGUUUAAAGGGUGCGCAGGCGGGCUUUAAGGCGGGGGGGAAACUGGGGGGGCCCACCCCCGCCGAGCCGUCGGAACUGGGGGCCUUGAGUGCGGCGGAGGCAUGCGGAAUGCGCGGUGUAGCGGUGAAAUGCAUAGAUAUCGCGCAGAACCCCGAUUGCGAAGGCAGCGUGCCGUGCCGCCACUGACGCUGAGGCACGAAAGCGCGGGGAUCGAACAGGAUUAGAUACCCUAGUA